AGUCGCUUCGACGAUUUGUGGACUAAAAGUUGAAUGAUACAGAUGGAGAUCUGCAUGGCCCUUAAGGAAAGCCGACACGCAAAAUGAUGAAACUUUUCACAUUUUU